ensembl:lncRNA
GGAGGUUUAAAAAAACAUUUAUUGUUAUUUUCACGUUAAUUGUGUAGAGGCAUGUACUUCAUUCACAAAAUAGGAACAGUAAAAUUAAUCAGACAAGAAAAAUAUAUAUGUUGUCUUUUUCUUACAUUAUCAAUAUAUAUAUACACACAUUGUAAAAUAGGACAUUGUAACAAAAAGAAACCAAAAUAUAGCAAUAAGCAAGUUAUGAUAGGCCACAUCUGUGCUGUGAAUACAGAUGUAGUGUGUUGUCGGUCUAAAAAAAAGAACUGAAAUUAGACUGAAAUUUUCAGAUUCUUUUUCCAUUUUCACAGGAGUUUGUAUGGCUUCAUUUAUAAAGUUGAGACAGACCAGAGUAAAGCUAAUUAAAAACAUGACACACCUAGCUAUAGUUGGAAAAAAAAACCCAAUUUCUGUUAUAACACCUCAACCCCCAUUUUCCUGGUAAAACUUUUUUUUUUUUUUUUAAACAGAAGUUAGGCGCCAUGCUUUUGAGCAUUAGUCAGACAUUUAUGUACAGUGCCAUGAAAAAGUGUUUGCCCCCUUCUCGACUUUUUAAAAAAAUAUUUCCCCCUUUUAAUGUCUAAGACCAUCAGACAAAGAAAACCAAAGUAAACACAAAAUGCAGUUUUUAAAUGAUGAUUUAAUGUUUUAAGGGAAAAAAGCUACCCAAACCUACAUUUGUUUGAUGAUCUUAAACACUCAAGUGGGGAAAAUAUGCAGAAAAAAAUAAGAAUUUGAUAAAAGGGGCAAAUGUUUUUUCACGGCACUGUAUGUUCACAGACAUGUAAAAAUCUCAUGGCUGCACAGAAGCACUUCUCCCAAGACAACAGUAUUACAAAGUAAGAACACUCACUUAAGCGUUACAAAAUACACGCGCGCACUUUAGUCUCGAGGCCAAACGGCCCAGAGAAAGAAUAUAGGCAAUGUGUAAAACAACAAGACGACAGGUCCAAUGUUUCAGAAUCAGUGGCUGUAAGUGACGAGUGGAACGAGCCAGGCUCCAUAUUCAAGAUACACAAUAGAACCAUUUCAUCUUUUUCUUUUACUACAUGUCAAAGUGAGAAGUUCAGAAAAAAUCUGCGCAUGACCAGAACUUAACCUUGGCUUGGAUCAUGAUCUCCAACAGUAAUGUAAUCUGCUACUUUGAGAUCCAACCACAGUGUGAUUAUACGGUAACAAAUAUCUCCCAAUUCUUUGUUUCUAAAGAGUACUUACAAAUAUACUCAAACAUGAUUGGAAGGAGAAGAACGUAAACAUAAAGUCAGAAGAGCAGGCUGUUUUUAACGCUCCAUUAUUCAAAUCAGAUACCUUCACUGUCCUGCCUGUGGCUCAUUCAGCACAACUGUGACAUUAUUACCAAGAGACAUCCACAUCUUACAACACCACUACCUCACGCUACACGAUAGAAACAGCUGUAAACUUGUACAUCACCAGAGUCUGGUGGGAUCUAGUUAGUAGGAGGCUCAUCCAGCAACAGUCAAGGAUGUGAUUAGAGAUGUGAGUAAUGACGGACAUCAGGAAGUUGCUGUCGCCCUCCAAUGUGAAUUGAAAGUUGCACUAAAACAACAACAACAAUCCUUGGAAUAAGGAUGGAACUCAUUCCUGAACAACUGUUAUUUGGUUUUUUUUCUGGUAACACAGUCCAAUUAUUUCUCUUCCUUUACAGAUUUUGCCAGAACCCGUGAGCCGCAUAUCAGAUGCUCAACACUGACACGAGACAAUUCACUGGUAAAUUUUAUACAAACUGAGGCUCUUCAACAGUUCAAGGUCACAACACUUAGCUGACUUUAAAUUGCGCACGUGUCUGCAGUGGCAAGGUGAGCAGACGCUGUAGCUGACAGCUCCAUUUUACAGUUGAUCAGACGGGUUCAAUUCACUUUCAGAUUAAAUCUGGAUGGGUUACUUCAGGAGAGAAAUGCAUAUUAAUUGGAUCUUAAGAAAAUAUCUAAUUGUGAAUAAAAUCACACCUGCAAAUUAGACUGAAGGUGAAUUGAGCCCUGAGUUGGAUGAUGUACAGAAAACUCUACAGAGGAAUGAGGGCAGGUAACAGGCGUUUUGAGCCACCUGCUGGCGAGCACUAGCAUUGCAAGGACAUCAUGACCCACAACAGGUAGAAGGGACAGAUAAAUGUGUUAAGUACUGCGCCACAGCUACUGGUAAAUACAAUUUGGUUAUGAUAACAUUGGCCAGUGAGGUUAAGAUAAAGCUAAGAUGCUGUAAACACUUCAGGUUCGGAGGUGAGAGCUCCUGACAAGCCAGCCCUUAUUUGGCAAUGAGUGUUGGUAUCUUAGUAAAGGUUGAAAGCACUGAGCUGUAGAAAAACAAGCUGGAACACAUUGCGGGCUAAGAAUCACUGGUCAGACUCCAAAAGAUCAGGUAGUGAAGGACGCUGCACAUUGCAUGAAAUACAUCUCCCAGGUUAAACGGUGCAUUUAUAAACAACAGGUUUGAACACAAGUUGGCCACAAAAACACGUAAAGCUGAUACUUUUAGUCUCCGUUAGUCAUUAAAAAAAGGAAAAAUAUGACUGCCACUUUAACUGUUAUACACAUUCUCUCUCUCACACAUACACAAUACACCAUGAAUCACAUGAUCAUCCAACAUCCAUCAUACCUGGGAUGCUUUUUGGACAUGAUAAAAAAAAGCAGCACAUUUUUUUGAUGGACAUUGAUAAUCUACAAAGUGCAAAUGCGCCAUCUUGUGCUCUGAAAUCCAAAAUGCCACUCCAAAUCCAGCCAGUCUUCCCUUUUGUGCACUGGCGCAGUCCACUGAACCAUGCAGUAGAGUCCAGGUUUUGGUGGGAAACAUCCAUCUCAAAAGGUGCGGAUCAUAAAUGCGUUCCAACAUUAUUAGUUAAAAAUAAGACACACAAAAAAACGGUCACACAGGUAAACUGAUUCAUCCAUCUCCACAGCAAGUACUGCCUUUCUGAAAACACGAGAGAGGAAAUGUUCAAAACAAAUAUACUGCUCUGCUCCAGCUUGUCCCACACUCUUCACUGCAGCUUUGUGCCUGUAAAUAAAGUCUUGGUUCACCCGGGAAGCGUUUGGCACAAAAAGUUGUCUCAUUAAACACCAAAAGUAGCUCUGAUUCCCUCCAGGAUUCUUAGAUUUUCUUCAUCAAUAAAUGCUCGAUUUGUGAGAGAGAGAAAAAAAAAACAGCACAAAGAAAUAGGUAUAUAGCUGAAUGUGUGGCUGUUAGCGUGUGUGUAUGCAUUGGUGAGCCUGGGAACAAGCUUGUAUCACAUGUCUUCUGGGAGUAGGUGUGAGAUGUGCUUAUGAGACUGCAUGCAAAAAUGCCAACACUAUAAAUGCAUUGCUGUGCUGUGACGGGCAAAUUGACUGCAUUUCCAUAGUUACUCUGAAUGGGUCUGUGGGGAUGUGGUUCCACUGAGGGAUUGUUGCCAUGGUGAUGAGCUAAACGGUUGUGUUGCUUAAGGCAUCAUAUUAGAUGACUGAGGUGUUUCUCCUG